rnacentral:rRNA from 1 species
GGGUUGUGAGGUUAAGCGACUAAGCGUACACGGUGGAUGCCCUGGCAGUCAGAGGCGAUGAAGGACGUGCUAAUCUGCGAUAAGCGUCGGUAAGGUGAUAUGAACCGUUAUAACCGGCGAUUUCCGAAUGGGGAAACCCAGUGUGUUUCGACACACUAUCAUUAACUGAAUUCAUAGGUUAAUGAGGCGAACCGGGGGAACUGAAACAUCUAAGUACCCCGAGGAAAAGAAAUCAACCGAGAUUCCCCCAGUAGCGGCGAGCGAACGGGGAGCAGCCCAGAGCCUGAAUCAGUGUGUGUGUUAGUGGAAGCGUCUGGAAAGGCGCGCGAUACAGGGUGACAGCCCCGUACACAAAAAUGCACAUGCUGUGAGCUCGAUGAGUAGGGCGGGACACGUGGUAUCCUGUCUGAAUAUGGGGGGACCAUCCUCCAAGGCUAAAUACUCCUGACUGACCGAUAGUGAACCAGUACCGUGAGGGAAAGGCGAAAAGAACCCCGGCGAGGGGAGUGAAAAAGAACCUGAAACCGUGUACGUACAAGCAGUGGGAGCACGCUUAGGCGUGUGACUGCGUACCUUUUGUAUAAUGGGUCAGCGACUUAUAUUCUGUAGCAAGGUUAACCGAAUAGGGGAGCCGAAGGGAAACCGAGUCUUAACUGGGCGUUAAGUUGCAGGGUAUAGACCCGAAACCCGGUGAUCUAGCCAUGGGCAGGUUGAAGGUUGGGUAACACUAACUGGAGGACCGAACCGACUAAUGUUGAAAAAUUAGCGGAUGACUUGUGGCUGGGGGUGAAAGGCCAAUCAAACCGGGAGAUAGCUGGUUCUCCCCGAAAGCUAUUUAGGUAGCGCCUCGUGAAUUCAUCUCCGGGGGUAGAGCACUGUUUCGGCAAGGGGGUCAUCCCGACUUACCAACCCGAUGCAAACUGCGAAUACCGGAGAAUGUUAUCACGGGAGACACACGGCGGGUGCUAACGUCCGUCGUGAAGAGGGAAACAACCCAGACCGCCAGCUAAGGUCCCAAAGUCAUGGUUAAGUGGGAAACGAUGUGGGAAGGCCCAGACAGCCAGGAUGUUGGCUUAGAAGCAGCCAUCAUUUAAAGAAAGCGUAAUAGCUCACUGGUCGAGUCGGCCUGCGCGGAAGAUGUAACGGGGCUAAACCAUGCACCGAAGCUGCGGCAGCGACGCUUAUGCGUUGUUGGGUAGGGGAGCGUUCUGUAAGCCUGUGAAGGUGUGCUGUGAGGCAUGCUGGAGGUAUCAGAAGUGCGAAUGCUGACAUAAGUAACGAUAAAGCGGGUGAAAAGCCCGCUCGCCGGAAGACCAAGGGUUCCUGUCCAACGUUAAUCGGGGCAGGGUGAGUCGACCCCUAAGGCGAGGCCGAAAGGCGUAGUCGAUGGGAAACAGGUUAAUAUUCCUGUACUUGGUGUUACUGCGAAGGGGGGACGGAGAAGGCUAUGUUGGCCGGGCGACGGUUGUCCCGGUUUAAGCGUGUAGGCUGGUUUUCCAGGCAAAUCCGGAAAAUCAAGGCUGAGGCGUGAUGACGAGGCACUACGGUGCUGAAGCAACAAAUGCCCUGCUUCCAGGAAAAGCCUCUAAGCAUCAGGUAACAUCAAAUCGUACCCCAAACCGACACAGGUGGUCAGGUAGAGAAUACCAAGGCGCUUGAGAGAACUCGGGUGAAGGAACUAGGCAAAAUGGUGCCGUAACUUCGGGAGAAGGCACGCUGAUAUGUAGGUGAAGUCCCUUGCGGAUGGAGCUGAAAUCAGUCGAAGAUACCAGCUGGCUGCAACUGUUUAUUAAAAACACAGCACUGUGCAAACACGAAAGUGGACGUAUACGGUGUGACGCCUGCCCGGUGCCGGAAGGUUAAUUGAUGGGGUUAGCGGUAACGCGAAGCUCUUGAUCGAAGCCCCGGUAAACGGCGGCCGUAACUAUAACGGUCCUAAGGUAGCGAAAUUCCUUGUCGGGUAAGUUCCGACCUGCACGAAUGGCGUAAUGAUGGCCAGGCUGUCUCCACCCGAGACUCAGUGAAAUUGAACUCGCUGUGAAGAUGCAGUGUACCCGCGGCAAGACGGAAAGACCCCGUGAACCUUUACUAUAGCUUGACACUGAACAUUGAGCCUUGAUGUGUAGGAUAGGUGGGAGGCUUUGAAGUGUGGACGCCAGUCUGCAUGGAGCCGACCUUGAAAUACCACCCUUUAAUGUUUGAUGUUCUAACGUUGACCCGUGAUCCGGGUUGCGGACAGUGUCUGGUGGGUAGUUUGACUGGGGCGGUCUCCUCCUAAAGAGUAACGGAGGAGCACGAAGGUUGGCUAAUCCUGGUCGGACAUCAGGAGGUUAGUGCAAUGGCAUAAGCCAGCUUGACUGCGAGCGUGACGGCGCGAGCAGGUGCGAAAGCAGGUCAUAGUGAUCCGGUGGUUCUGAAUGGAAGGGCCAUCGCUCAACGGAUAAAAGGUACUCCGGGGAUAACAGGCUGAUACCGCCCAAGAGUUCAUAUCGACGGCGGUGUUUGGCACCUCGAUGUCGGCUCAUCACAUCCUGGGGCUGAAGUAGGUCCCAAGGGUAUGGCUGUUCGCCAUUUAAAGUGGUACGCGAGCUGGGUUUAGAACGUCGUGAGACAGUUCGGUCCCUAUCUGCCGUGGGCGCUGGAGAAUUGAGGGGGGCUGCUCCUAGUACGAGAGGACCGGAGUGGACGCAUCACUGGUGUUCGGGUUGUCAUGCCAAUGGCACUGCCCGGUAGCUAAAUGCGGAAGAGAUAAGUGCUGAAAGCAUCUAAGCACGAAACUUGCCCCGAGAUGAGUUCUCCCUGACUCCUUGAGAGUCCUGAAGGAACGUUGAAGACGACGACGUUGAUAGGCCGGGUGUGUAAGCGCAGCGAUGCGUUGAGCUAACCGGUACUAAUGAACCGUGAGGCUUAACCUUACAACGCCGAAGCUGUU